CGGCGGGUAGCUCAGUCGGUAGAGCGCGUUGCCUCUGACGCCCUUCGCCCGCUCCGGCGGGCCGAUGUAGGAGGCUUAUCCUGCUAAGAUCGCGGUCGUUGGUUCGAGUCCAACCCCGUCGCCCA
rnacentral:tRNA from 1 species